CCAAUAGCGCAUAUUAAAGUUGUUGCAGUUAAAAAGCUCGUAGUUGAAUUUCGGAAUCAAGGUGCCAGUCAUGCCUUUGGUAUACACUGACAUCAUUGAUUUCUCCCUUCUGACGAACCAUGAUGUCAUUAAUUUGGUGUCAUGGGGAAUCAGGACUGUUACUUUGAAAAAAUUAGAGUGUUUAAAGCAGGCAAACGCUUGAAUACAUUAGCAUGGAAUAAUGAAAUAGGACGUUUGAUCCUAUUUUGUUGGUUUCUAGGAUCUACGUAAUGAUUAAUAGGGAUAGUUGGGGGCAUUAGUAUUCAAUUGUCAGAGGUGAAAUUCUUGGAUUUAUUGAAGACUAACUACUGCGAAAGCAUUUGCCAAGGAUGUUUUCAUUAAUCAAGAACGAAAGUUAGGGGAUCGAAGACGAUCAGAUACCGUCGUAGUCUUAACCAUAAACUAUGCCGACUAGGGAUCGGAUGAUGUUAAUUUUUAAUGACUCAUUCGGCGCCUUACG
rnacentral:rRNA from 1 species